rnacentral:rRNA from 1 species
AUUGAACUCUGGCGGCAGGCCUAACACAUGCAAUUCGAACGAGUGGCGUACGGGUGAGUAAUGUCUGGGAACCUGCCUGAUGGAGGGGACUCACUACUGGCACCGAUAGCUAAUACCGCAUACCAUCAUCUGUGCACAGAUGGGAUUAGCUUGUUGGUGGGGUAACGGCUCACCAAGGCGACGAUCCCUAGCUGGUCUGAGAGGAUGACCAGCCACACUGGGACGGAGACACGGUCCAGACUCCUACGGGAGGCAGCAGUGGGGAAUAUUGCACAAUGGGCGCAAGCCUGAUGCAGCCAUGCCGCGUGUAUGAAGAAGGCCUUCGGGUUGUAAAGUACUGUCAGCGGGGAGGCGUUACCCGCAGAAGAAGCACCGGCUAACUCCGUGCCAGCAGCCGCGGUAAUAC